rnacentral:tRNA from 2 species
AAAAUCCGUCUAUUUUCAAAAUCGUGAGGGUUCAAGUCCCUCUAUCCCCA